ACCGGCGCACGGGUGCGUAACGCGUAUGCACCUACCUUCUACAGGGGGAUAGUCGAUAGAAAUGUUGAAUAAUACCCCAUACGAUAGCAUUAUGAAAGCUCCGGCGGUAGAAGAUGGGCAUGCGUCCUAUUAGUUAGUUGGUAAGGUAACGGCUUACCAAGACUUCGAUAGGUAGGGGUCCUGAGAGGGAGACCCCCCACACUGGUACUGAGACACGGACCAGACUCCUACGGGAGGCAGCAGUGAGGAAUAUUGGACAAUGGAGGCAACUCUGAUCCAGCCAUGCCGCGUGCAGGAAGACUGCCUAUGGGUUGUAAACUGCUUUUAUACAGGAAGAAAUAUAUCUACGUGUAGGUAUUUGACGGUACU
rnacentral:rRNA from 1 species